CUCUUAUCCCGAGUCGGUGGAGGGACAGGCCCGAAGAAACCCAGCAACCAUCAUUUCAAUGAAAAGAAAUGAAAAGGUGCUAACCUGCAAGGCAUAUGACCUUGAACGAUAAGAG
rnacentral:ncRNA from 2 species